GCAACAGCCUCCUCCUCUGCUUACCUCCUCCGGGCUCAAGUCUGGGAGACCUACUCCAGGAGGCGCUGUUCCCAGAGUCUGUGCAGAAGCUCUGUCCUCCUACUCGGAGCACUUGGGAAGGCUGCAUCUGGCCUGUCUUCCUUUCCUGGUCUGAGUCUAUUCCAGCUUGCAGUGUGCUUUCAGCAGUCAGUAGCCUACUCUCCAGAAGGACAUUUUGACUCAAAUCAUGCCAGCCUGGCCAGCAUUUGGUUACUGGAUGGGGGCCACAUGGGAGUUUCUAGGGGAGCUGGUGCCAGAAAGAAGUUGAAAAUGUCACUCUCUCUGCCUUGUGGAAUUGGGACAAGUAUUGUUCUGGGAAGAAGUGAGAAAAAGGUAAGGAAAGUGACACGGAGUCCAUCGGAAAAGCUCAAACUCCCCUGUGAGGAGAAUUGGCUGAGGAGCUACAGCCAUGGUGGCUGCCUACUGUUUACAUCCUAACCUUCUGUGGCUUGAACCCCACAGUUUGGCACAGGAUUCAUUAUUAGAAGGCAUACUUCUCUAUUUGUUUAACGUAUAUAACUCUUCUUUCUGCAGGUGGAUUGAAAGCUCUUCAGAGCCUAGCACAAUGUGAACACAGCAGGCUUUUGCUCAUGUCUAAGAAUUAUGAUGUUUUAUUUUCAGAUAAGCCUAUCUACUGGUCUCAUUCUCUCACAAAGUAGCGGGAGGAGAGAAAGUCCAGUGUGGGGUAGCAACACAUUUAUAAUAUUACUAUGAAUACAAUAUUAUUUUCUUAAAAACUUUUUGAGAAGGACAAUCACACUUGUUUUCCUGAAGAGGUGUUUUCUUCACCCUGUGUUUCUUUGGCACACUUGUUUCUUUUUCUUAUUAGUUUGACAAUGUUAUUUGUAAAUAGUCAUUCAAGAAGCCAUAUUUUAGGUAUUCUUGGACAGCAUCUCAAAACCCACUUUUUCCAGCACGUGUAAUGUGUACCACCCUGGUGCAGAGACUGCUGGUUGGCAGACCCUAUGGCUGUCUGCAAGUCCAGUCUCUUUUGCAGCUAUGGGCAGCCACAUGGCUUGGGUUUUUUUUUUUUUUUAAGAUUUUAUUUAUUUAUUCAUGAGAUAUACACAGAGAGAGGCAAAGACAUAAGCAGAGGGAGAAGCAGGCUCCCUGCAGGGAGUCCAAUGUGGGACUCGAUCCCAGGACCCUAGGAUCAUGACCUGAGCCAAGGCAGAUGUCUGUUCAUUCACUGAGCCACCCAGGUGCCUCCACAUGGCUUGGUUUCAUCCUACAAGCUAUAAGCAGAAGUCUUCUAGGGGAGGCUGGUGAAAUAGUUUCCGGUUUUCUAGAUAGAAAGGCUGUGUGGGUAGCACAGUCUAAUGAAUAACUGACUCUUGGUUUUGGCUCAGGUCAUGAUUUCAUGGGUUCUGAGCUCACUGGGGAAUCUGUGGUGAUUCUUUCCUUCUGUCCCUCCCCCUACUCUCCCUCUCUCUUUCAAAUAAAUAAAUCUUUAAAAAAUGAUUGCA
rnacentral:lncRNA from 12 species